rnacentral:rRNA from 1 species
AUGAGCAAGGCGUAUGAUCUAGUCGAAUGGAGUUUUUUAAGAGAUAUGAUGAGGAAAAUGGGAUUUAGCACAUGGUGGAUCCAGUUAAUCAUGAAAUGUGUUACUACGGUGCGCUAUCAGAUAAAGGUCAAUCAUGAUGUAACAAAUGCCAUUACCCCUAGCAGAGGCCUGAGACAAGAAAGGAGCAAAAAGAUUCAAGGAAUAAAAGUCUCAAGAAGGGCUCCAAGUGUGAACCAUCUGCUCUUUGCAGAUGAUUCCUUACUACUAAUGAAGGUUGAGGACAGAAGCAUGAAAGAAGUGGAUCAAAUCUUGCAGCAGUAUGCAGAUUGCUCUGGACAAGUAAUUAACAAAGACAAAUCUGCUGUCAUGUUCAGCAAAAAUACUCCUCGGGAAAAGAGACAUGCCACAAUGCAGAUUUUGAACCUGAAUUGUGAAGCCAAAACAGAGAAAUACCUGGGAUUUCCCAUCUAUAUCGGAAAGUCAAAGUCAAAAACAUUUGCAUACCUAAAGGAUAUGAUUUGGAGAAAGAUCCAAGGCUGA